rnacentral:lncRNA from 1 species
UUUCAUCUUGCUUCAGCUACCGCCGCCGCGUCCUGCCCACUCAGUCACCUCGGCUUCCCACAACCAAGUGCAGAAACAGGCCCGAGCUACAAGAGCUGAAUUAACAAGAACAAGCUGGCAGCAGGGGACAGGAGACUUCUGUACCAAGAUGGUGGCACAAAGUUAUGCCUGCGGUACCUACCCAGCCCUCACCUGCUGAUCAAAAUACUCCUUCACCUUCUGAUCAAAAUACUCAAGGAG